rnacentral:rRNA from 1 species
CGAACGCUGGCGGCGUGCUUAACACAUGCAAGUCGAACGGAAGGGCCCUGCUUGCAGGGUACUCGAGUGGCGAACGGGUGAGUAACACGUGGGUGAUCUGCCCUGCACUUCGGGAUAAGCUUGGGAAACUGGGUCUAAUACCGGAUAGGAACCAUCUUUAGUGUGGUGGUUGGAAAGUUUUUUCGGUGUAGGAUGAGCUCGCGGCCUAUCAGCUUGUUGGUGGGGUAAUGGCCUACCAAGGCGGCGACGGGUAGCCGGCCUGAGAGGGUGUACGGCCACAUUGGGACUGAGAUACGGCCCAGACUCCUACGGGAGGCAGCAGUGGGGAAUAUUGCACAAUGGGCGCAAGCCUGAUGCAGCGACGCCGCGUGGGGGAUGAAGGCCUUCGGGUUGUAAACUCCUUUCGCUAGGGACGAAGCUUUGUUGUGACGGUACCUAGAUAAGAAGCACCGGCUAACUACGUG